rnacentral:rRNA from 1 species
CCUACGGGAGGCAGCAGUGAGGAAUAUUGGUCAAUGGACGAGAGUCUGAACCAGCCAAGUAGCGUGAAGGAUGACUGCCCUAUGGGUUGUAAACUUCUUUUAUAUGGGAAUAAAAUGUUCCACGUGUGGGUUUUUGUAUGUACCAUAUGAAUAAGGAUCGGCUAACUCCGUGCCAGCAGCCGCGGUAAUACGGAGGAUCCGAGCGUUAUCCGGAUUUAUUGGGUUUAAAGGGAGCGUAGGUGGAUUGUUAAGUCAGUUGUGAAAGUUUGCGGCUCAACCGUAAAAUUGCAGUUGAAACUGGCAGUCUUGAGUGCAGGAGAGGUGGGCGGAAUUCGUGGUGUAGCGGUGAAAUGCUUAGAUAUCACGAAGAACUCCGAUUGCGAAGGCAGCUCACUGGACUGCAACUGACACUGAGGCUCGAAAGUGUGGGUAUCAAACAGGAUUAGAUACCCCGGUAGUC